rnacentral:rRNA from 1 species
CGCUGGCGGCGUGCUUAACACAUGCAAGUCGAACGAUGAUGCCCAGCUUGCUGGGUGGAUUAGUGGCGAACGGGUGAGUAAUACGUGAGCAACGUGCCCAGGACUCUGGAAUAACUGCUGGAAACGGUAGCUAAUACUGGAUAGGUAUCGGGGAGGCAUCUUCCUGGUUGGAAAGAUUUUUCGGUUCUGGAUCGGCUCACGGCCUAUCAGCUUGUUGGUGGGAUAAUGGCCUACCAAGGCGACGACGGGUAGCCGGCCUGAGAGGGUGACCGGCCACACUGGGACUGAGACACGGCCCAGACUCCUACGGGAGGCAGCAGUGGGGAAUAUUGCACAAUGGGCGCAAGCCUGAUGCAGCAACGCCGCGUGAGGGAUGACGGCCUUCGGGUUGUAAACCUCUUUUAGUAGGGAAGAAGCGCAAGUGACGGUACCUGCAGAAAAAGCACCGGCUAACUACGUGCCAGCAGCCGCGGUAAUACGUAGGGUGCAAGCGUUGUCCGGAAUUAUUGGGCGUAAAGAGCUCGUAGGCGGUUUGUCGCGUCUGCUGUGAAAGCCCGGGGCUCAACUCCGGGUCUGCAGUGGGUACGGGCAGACUAGAGUGCGGUAGGGGAGAUUGGAAUUCCUGGUGUAGCGGUGGAAUGCGCAGAUAUCAGGAGGAACACCGAUGGCGAAGGCAGAUCUCUGGGCCGUUACUGACGCUGAGGAGCGAAAGCAUGGGGAGCGAACAGGAUUAGAUACCCUGGUAGUCCAUGCCGUAAACGUUGGGCGCUAGAUGUGGGGACCAUUCCACGGUUUCUGUGUCGUAGCUAACGCAUUAAGCGCCCCGCCUGGGGAGUACGGCCGCAAGGCUAAAACUCAAAGGAAUUGACGGGGGCCCGCACAAGCGGCGGAGCAUGCGGAUUAAUUCGAUGCAACGCGAAGAACCUUACCAAGGCUUGACAUAUUCCGGAAACGGCCAGAGAUGGUCGCCCCCUUUUGGGUCGGUUUACAGGUGGUGCAUGGUUGUCGUCAGCUCGUGUCGUGAGAUGUUCGGUUAAGUCCGGCAACGAGCGCAACCCUCGUCCUAUGUUGCCAGCGGUUCGGCCGGGAACUCAUGGGAUACUGCCGUGGUCAACACGGAGGAAGGUGGGGAUGACGUCAAAUCAUCAUGCCCCUUAUGUCUUGGGCUUCACGCAUGCUACAAUGGCCGGUACAAUGGGCUGCGAUACCGCGAGGUGGAGCGAAUCCCAAAAAGCCGGUCUCAGUUCGGAUUGGGGUCUGCAACUCGACCCCAUGAAGUCGGAGUCGCUAGUAAUCGCAGAUCAGCAACGCUGCGGUGAAUACGUUCCCGGGCCUUGUACACACCGCCCGUC